UUAAGUUCAGCGGGUAUUCCUACUUGAUCCGAGGUCAACCUUGUGCCGCCUAGGCGGGCUUGUGGGGGGUUUAGAGGCUGGUGCCCGAGGGCUCCCGAUGCGAGGCGAAUGCUACUACGCAAGGGAAGGGCCGCUACGGGUCCGCCACUGGUUUCAGGGCCUACUACAGGGCGUAGGUCCCCAACACCGGGCCACUAGGG
rnacentral:misc_RNA from 1 species